rnacentral:misc_RNA from 1 species
GAUGAAGAACGUAGUGAAAUGCGAUACUUGGUGUGAAUUGCAGAAUCCCGUGAACCAUCGAGUCUUUGAACGCAAGUUGCGCCCGAAGCCACUAGGCCGAGGGCACGCCUGCCUGGGCGUCACACGCCGUUGCCCCCCCAUCUACUCCUUCGGGAUUGCGGGGGUCGGAUGAUGGCCUCCCGUGCGCCUAGCCGCGCGGUUGGCAUAAAUACCAAGUCCUCGGCGACGCACGCCACGACAAUCGGUGGUUGCGAAACCUCGGUUGCCCGUCGUGUGCGUUCGUCGCGCAUCGAGGGCUCGAAAAAAUGCUCGGCUCCGGCUGGGCUUUCAACGCGACCCCAGGUCAGGCGGGGUUACCCGCUGAAUUUAAGCAUAUCAAUAAGCGGAGGA